UACAGAGGUGGCAAGCGUUGCUCGGUAUCACUGGGCUUAAAGGGCGCGUAGGCGGUGCGGUACGGUUUCGGUGAAAUCCCUCGGCCCAACCGAGGAACAGCCGGAGCUACGGCCGGACUAGACGGCAUCAGGGGACAGUGGAACUCCCGGUGGAGCGGUGAAAUGCGUAGAUAUCGGGAGGAACGCCGGUGGCGAAAGCAGCCUUCUGGGCCAACACUGACGCUCAUGCACGAAAGCGUGGGGAGCAAACAGG
rnacentral:rRNA from 1 species